CAAAGUCAACCUUCCAUGUACAAAAUGCCUGUGUCACGUGCUUAUGAUUAACUCCUUACUCUCCACGGUAAGGUACUGUAAUCAGUCUGGAAGUCUAUAUAAUGAGGUGUGCGUGGUUGCCAGGAGCACUGGAAGCAGAACACCUGAGCUCCAAGAGAUAGCCCAAACUCUGAAGCUGCUGAAAUCUGUCGGAGAGAAAGAAAGAGAAGGUUCCGAACCACUUGCUGACGGAGAAAGAAAGAGCAUUUUUUCUUAUUUCGCUUGA
rnacentral:lncRNA from 1 species